GACGAACGCUGGCGGCGUGCUUAACACAUGCAAGUCGAACGCUGAAGCCCAGCUUGCUGGGUGGAUGAGUGGCGAACGGGUGAGUAACACGUGAGUAACCUGCCCCCUUCUUUGGGAUAACGCCCGGAAACGGGUGCUAAUACUGGAUAUUCACUGAUCUUCGCAUGGGGGUUGGUGGAAAGGUUUUUUCUGGUGGGGGAUGGGCUCGCGGCCUAUCAGCUUGUUGGUGGGGUGAUGGCCUACCAAGGCUUUGACGGGUAGCCGGCCUGAGAGGGUGACCGGUCACAUUGGGACUGAGAUACGGCCCAGACUCCUACGGGAGGCAGCAGUGGGGAAUAUUGCACAAUGGGCGAAAGCCCGAUGCAGCGACGCCGCGUGAGGGAUGACGGCCUUCGGGUUGUAAACCUCUUUCGCUCAUGGUCAAGCCGCAGCUUUGGGUUGUGGUGAGGGUAGUGGGUAAAGAAGCGCCGGCUAACUACGUGCCAGCAGCCGCGGUAAUACGUAGGGCGCGAGCGUUGUCCGGAAUUAUUGGGCGUAAAGGGCUUGUAGGCGGUUGGUCGCGUCUGCCGUGAAAUCCUCUGGCUUAACUGGGGGCGUGCGGUGGGUACGGGCUGACUUGAGUGCGGUAGGGGAGACUGGAACUCCUGGUGUAGCGGUGGAAUGCGCAGAUAUCAGGAAGAAUACCGGUGGCGAAGGCGGGUCUCUGGGCCGUUACUGACGCUGAGGAGCGAAAGCGUGGGGAGCGAACAGG
rnacentral:rRNA from 1 species